UUUACCCUACCGUGUGCGUGCUCCGGCCGAUUAGUUUUAGACCAACACCAACACUUAGGGAGUCUUGACUCUGAUUGUGGCUUGUAAGCCCGCGCAGGCAAGAUUCUGCGGAAAACAGUUCGAAGCGGGAAACAUAAAGCAAUCAGGAGGACACCCACCUGCUAGAGGCAGGUUCAAAACAACGGCGCCACGGCAUAGUGGGGUUUGA
rnacentral:other from 1 species